AGUGAACGCUGGCGGUAGGCCUAACACAUGCAAGUCGAACGGCAGCACAGUAAGAGCUUGCUCUUACGGGUGGCGAGUGGCGGACGGGUGAGGAAUACAUCGGAAUCUACUUUUUCGUGGGGGAUAACGUAGGGAAACUUACGCUAAUACCGCAUACGACCUACGGGGGAAAGCAGGGGAUCUUCGGACCUUGCGCGAUUGAAUGAGCCGAUGUCGGAUUAGCUAGUUGGCGGGGUAAAGGCCCACCAAGGCGACGAUCCGUAGCUGGUCUGAGAGGAUGAUCGGCCACCCUGGAGCUGAGACACGGUCCAGACUCCUACGGGAGGCAGCAGUGGGGAAUGUUGGACAAUGGGCGCAAGCCUGAUCCAGCCAUCCCGCGUGGGUGAAGAAGGCCUUCGGGUUGUAAAGCCCUUUUGUUGGUAAAGAAAAGCAGCAGGUUAAUACCCCGCUGUUCUGACGGUACCCAAAGAAUAAGCACCGGCUAACUUCGUG
rnacentral:rRNA from 1 species